UCUUUAUAAUUGAAGACUUACCGUUGCUGGGAAAAUAUCCUGACUUCUUGAUUUCUUUUCUAGGUCCUUUCACCCGACUCCCAAAAAUCUGUCCUCAGAUGGUGGCUUGUAACAGGUGAAGAAAUGGCUCUUUGUCCUGGGAUGAAAAGCUUCUCAAGGGAAUUAUUCUCCAUUCCAAGCUGUUGGCUGAAACGAGGCUGGUUUUGGAAGGGGUGUCUUUGGAAAAUCUCUCAAACUUGACUCAAAAACCUCCCUGUAAUACUGAUCAUGGAACCUGGUGGACGCAUCCGUUCAAGAGCUACCAUGCUACCCAUUCUUCUCAAACUGAUGUUUUAGAAGCACUUCAAAUCCUUAA
rnacentral:lncRNA from 1 species